rnacentral:rRNA from 1 species
GACAGAGGGUGCAAACGUUGUUCGGAAUUACUGGGCGUAAAGCGCGUGUAGGCGGCUAAGUAAGUCGGGCGUGAAAUCCCACGGCUCAACCGUGGAAGUGCACUCGAAACUGCGUAGCUAGAGUCCUGGAGAGGAAGGUGGAAUGCUUGGUGUAGAGGUGAAAUUCGUAGAUAUCAAGCGGAACACCGGUGGCGAAGGCGGCCUUCUGGACAGUGACUGACGCUGAGACGCGAAAGCGUGGGGAGCGAACAGG